GACGAACGCUGGCGGCGUGCUUAACACAUGCAAGUCGAACGGAAAGGCCCUGCUUUUGUGGGGUUCUCGAGUGGCGAACGGGUGAGUAACACGUGAGUAACCUGCCCUUGACUUUGGGAUAACUUCAGGAAACUGGGGCUAAUACCGGAUAGGAGCUCCUGCUGCAUGGUGGGGGUUGGAAAUUUUCGGCGGUUGGGGAUGGACUCGCGGCUUAUCAGCUUGUUGGUUGGGUAGUGGCUUACCAAGGCUUUGGCGGAUAGCCGGCCCGAGAGGGUGACCGGCGACAUUGCGACUGAGAUAGGGCCCAGACUCCUACGGGAGGCAGCAGUGGGGAAUAUUGCACAAGGGGCGGAAGCCUGAUGCAGAAACGCUGCGUGCGGGAUGACGGCCUUCGGGUAGUAAACCGCUUUCGCCUGUGACGAAGCGUGAGUGACGGUAAUGGGUAAAGAAGCACCGGCUAACUACGUG
rnacentral:rRNA from 1 species